GCGGCAGGCUAAAACAUGCAGUCGAACGCCGUAGCAAUACGGAGUGGCAGACGGGUGAGUAACACGUUGGGAACGUGCCUUUUGGGUUCGGAACAACACAGGGAAACUUGUGCUAAUACCGGAUAAGCCCUUACGGGGAAAGAUUUAUCGCCAAAAGAUCGGCCCGGUCUGAUUAGCUAGUUGGUGAGGUAACGGUUCACCAAGGCUACGAUCAGUAGGCUGGUCUGAGAGGAUGAUCAGCACACUGGGACUUGAGACACGGGCCAAGAAUUCCUUAACGGGAGGGCCAGCAAGUUAGGAAUCUUUGGGACCAUGGGGCGCCAAGCCUGAUCCAGCCAUGCCGCGUGAGUGAUGAAGGCCUUAGGGUUGUAAAGCUCUUUCAGCGGGGAAGAUAAUGACGGUACCCGCAGAAGAAGCCCCGGCUAACUUCGUGCCAGCAGCCGCGGUAAUACGAAGGGGGCUAGCGUUGCUCGGAAUCACUGGGCGUAAAGCGCACGUAGGCGGGUCUUUAAGUCAGGGGUGAAAUCCUGGAGCUCAACUCCAGAACUGCCUUUGAUACUGAGGAUCUCGAGUCCGGGAGAGGUGAGUGGAACUCCGAGUGUAGAGGCGAAAUUCGUAGAUAUUCGGAAGAACACCAGUGGCGAAGGCGGCUCACUGGCCCGGUACUGACGCUGAGGUGCGAAAGCGUGGGGAGCAAACAGGAUUAGAUACCCUGGUAGUCCACGCCGUAAACGAUGGAUGCUAGCCGUUGGCCGGUUUACCGGUCAGUGGCGCAGUUAACGCAUUAAGCAUCCCGCCUGGGGAGUACGGUCGCAAGAUUAAAACUUCAAAGGGAAUUGACGGGGGGCCCGGAC
rnacentral:rRNA from 1 species